GUGCUAGGUAGAGAUGGAAAUAUACAUAUAAGGCUUGAAGGAUCAAUUCCCAUGGACGAGGUGGGAUAUUACAAAAAAUCUCUAUCAUGUAUUAGAGGAAGGAUCUUUCUUACAACCGCUUACACUACGUGAUCAACUGUAUAACAAACAUAUGGUGUAAUGUAUAAAUAUAUGACAAUCAUGUAUGUUUCAAUAGUACUUUUAAAAUAAUAUAUUAAUUGGAAAAGAGUUUUUACUAGUAUUGAAAACAUCGUCGUAUCGUGUUGAACAGAGAUGAACGACAUAAUUAAUAAUUUUAUAAACGGUGACAAGAGAGACAAAAUGGGUAUAACGUAGGAGAUGGUAUAAGUACAUACAUACCUCUAGGUUUUAUACUCAACCUUCCUUGUGCCUACCUACCUACCUUUACAUUACUAAAUUCUUCCCUAUUAUAUUCUCUCUUUUUUUCUUUCUAAUUUUCUAUAUUUGUGUAUUUAUUACUCAUCUUAGUUUAUUUAAUGUGCUCAUACUCUCCUUCCUUACUUAUUUAUUAUGCAGGCGGCGGAUAAUAUUUAAGAACAUUUACACAUAUAUUUAAGUUAUAAGACUAUAUUUUAGGAAGAGACGAAGUUUUUUAUUUAUUUUAGAGAAGAACAAAAUUUAUUUAUAUGGUAGGCAAUGUCAAGGAUAUUUUUAGUUGGUUUUGCAUUUUAAAAAUUUUACUUCUCUAUAAUUAAAGGAUGGGUCUUUAUUUUCUUAUUUGUACUAUUUUUUUUCCUCUCCUAUCUUAUUUGUCAUUUUCUUUCUCUCUUUCUUUGUCUCCUCUUUCUUCGGGCUAGUUUGGUAUUAUUAUAUUUUUUAGAAAAAAAAAUUAUUUCUGAUGAACUAUGAGAAUAAACAGCUAUAAAAUAAACUUAUUGAGUGUUUGGUAAACUUUUUUUUUGUAAAAAUGCUUUAACAAAAAAAAAAUAGUGUCCGAGUGUAUGGUAAACUUUUAUAUAAAUUGCUGUGAAUAUGUUAAAUGACUAAAAAUGAUAUGGUGUUUAAUGUGAUAUAAGAAUUGUCAAAGAGAAUAAUGUAGGGGCAAUGAUUGUAAUUUUGUAAAAUGUGUGAGGGUAUACUUGUCAUUUGAAAUUACUUAAAUAGACACUAAUUACUAUGCUUUAAAAAAAACAUUUUUAGAAGCAUGGUAGACCCUGUUUUUGUUUUUCUACCAUCAUUGGCAAUAGUUUUUUUU
rnacentral:lncRNA from 1 species